rfam:Glycine max cultivar Williams 82 chromosome 16, whole genome shotgun sequence.
GGGCUGUGAUGACCGAGAACAUUUCUUGAUUCUGAUGAGGACCAAAGCAAGUUGUUUGCUCUAUGAUGACAGUGUUUGUGCAUGUCUGAGCCUA